rnacentral:rRNA from 1 species
AACUAUAUGUUAACAUAUAUAGCAACCCCUGCUCAAUGAAGUAUUAAAUUGCCGCAGUACCUUGACUGUGCAAAGGUAGCAUAAUAAUUUGACUUAUAAUUAAGGUCUUGAUGAAGGGGGGCACGUAUUGUAGCUAUCUUAAUCUUAUUAAAAUGAAGUUACGGUUUUGGUGCAAACCCCAAACGGCCUAAAAAAGACGAGAAGACCCUAGAAACUUAUAUAUUAUUUUGUUGGGGCGACAGAAUUACACAUAACUAAUUUUACAGUACUUGAAGUAAACGGACAGAUAAAGUUACUCUAGGGAUAACAGCAUAAUUUCAAAAAGUUUGUGACCUCGAUGUUGGACUAGGUACUAUAGUCUUUAGAAGGGCCUUUAGUAUGCUCUGUUCGAGCAUAAACACCUACAU